CUGAUACAGGGAGGUAGUGACAAUAAAUAACAAUGCCGGGUCUUAUAGAUCUGGCAAUUGGAAUGAGAACGAUUUAAAUCCCCUAACGAGGAUCAAUUGGAGGGCAAGUCUGGUGCCAGCAGCCGCGGUAAUUCCAGCUCCAAUAGUGUAUAUUAAAGUUGUUGCAGUUAAAAAGCUCGUAGUUGGAUUUCUGGCGGGAGCGAUCGGUCCUUCACUCAGUGUUGGAACCUGAUUGUCUCCUGCCAUCCAUGGAGAAAACUUAUCUGGCAUUAAGUUGUCGGGUAGGCAAUCUCCAUCUUUUACUGUGAAAAAAUUAGAGUGUUCAAAGCAGGCUUAUGCCGUUGAAUAUAUUAGCAUGGAAUAAUAAGAUAGGACUAUGGUACUAUUUUGUUGGUUUGUGCACCAUGGUAAUGAUUAAUAGGGACAGUUGGGGGUAUUCGUAUUCCAUUGUCAGAGGUGAAAUUCUUGGAUUUAUGGAAGACGAACUACUGCGAAAGCA
rnacentral:rRNA from 1 species